CUUAAACUAUAGUGAAGUAGUCGGAACGGCUGAGUGGUAACUGUUAUCUAUGAUAAGUAACUGUGAAAAUCCGCUAAGUUUCUUAUAAUUAGACCUUUUUCAACUAAAAAAGCAGUACUACAGGAGUUUAACCGUUAACAGCAAUUGCCAAAAUGAACUAUUAAUAACUGAAGUGUAAUCUAAAAAGUUCCCCAAAUAAAAUGCAAAUUCAUUUUUCA